rnacentral:rRNA from 1 species
AACGAACGCUGGCGGCAGGCCUAACACAUGCAAGUCGAACGAGAUCUUCGGAUCUAGUGGCGGACGGGUGAGUAACGCGUGGGAACGUGCCCUUCUCUACGGAAUAGUCCUGGGAAACUGGGUUUAAUACCGUAUACGCCCUUCGGGGAAAGGAAAUUCCGGGAAGGAUCGGCCCGCGUUGGAUUAGGUAGUUGGUGGGGUAAUGGCCUACCAAGCCGACGAUCCAUAGCUGGUUUGAGAGGAUGAUCAGCCACACUGGGACUGAGACACGGCCCAGACUCCUACGGGAGCAGCAGUGGGGAAUCUUAGACAAUGGGGGCAACCCGUGACUCUAGCCAAUGCCGCGUGAGUGACGAAGGCCCUAAGGGUCGUAAAAGCU